rnacentral:rRNA from 1 species
UACGUAGGGUGCAAGCGUUGUCCGGAAUUAUUGGGCGUAAAGAGCUUGUAGGCGGUUUGUCGCGUCUGCUGUGAAAUUUCGGGGCUCAACCCCGAACUUGCAGUGGGUACGGGCAGACUAGAGUGUGGUAGGGGAGACUGGAAGUUCCUGGUGUAGCGGUGAAAUGCGCAGAUAUCAGGAAGAACACCCGUGGCGAAGGCGGCUCUCUGGGACGGUACUGACGGCUGAGACGCGAAAGCGUGGGGAGCAAACAGGG